rnacentral:tRNA from 4 species
GGGCGUAUAGCUCAGUGGUAGAGCGCUGGUCUUACACACCAGUGGUCGGGGGUUCAAAUCCCUCUGCGCCCA